AAAGGGUUUCAUAUCUAAGGGUUGUGAUAGGCUUGNGAAACCCAUUUGGGCGAGAGUAGUACUAGGAUGGGUGACCUCCUGGGAAGUCCUCGUGAAAGGGUUUC
rnacentral:rRNA from 1 species